GAGCACAUAUACAACAUUGGUAAUCGCUGUGAUGUGAAGGUUACAACACGUCCUAACGUGUUAAAUGUACAAAAAGUAUAUAAUGCAUUAGAUGACGUCCAAAAGGAGAUUUUUUGAAGUCGUGCUUUGGUAAACUAUACAACAUCAGGAACAUAAAAAUAUCUGCCCAAAUAAUUCACAACUUGUUAUUACGAAAGGUUCAUUGCCUGCAUUGCCUUCUCGAUUAGUAAUGUACAAUGACUCUUUCCUUUCUGCUUCCACUCCACCCUCCAUCCAGUAGAUCUUCACUUGGCUAGGAUUCUACGAGGAGAAACUAUGGUCUUUUUUUAUGGGAUGAAAAAGCUGCCCGUUUCUUCCUAUAUAAGUUUACGCUCAUCACGGGAUUAAACCCUGCUGAUGAUGAGGGAUAUCAAAACCAAAUAGAUGAAAAAAAUAAUAGAUUGGCACAUAAAUGCUUCCCAGCAUGUAGUAAGGUUAUGCCAAAACAAUUGAAUGAGACUUUUGAGAAAGAGAUAGAAGACAUGGAUGAGAAAUACAAAUUGGGUCUAGUACUUAUAUACGAGACUAUGCUGAGAUCUAAAGAAAAAAAAUACAUCUAUUGAUCUUCAAACAUUAAAUAUAGUUGGUGAUUUGGAGCUAUUCAAUAGAUAUCCAUGGGAAAGAAAAUGUUUCAAGUUUACAAUACACGAUUUUCCUUAGACUGUUAAAGAAUCCAAAGUCUAAAUAUUCUUUAUGGGGAUUUCCACUAGUAAAACUAGUAAAUGACAAAAACUUGUGACUUAAACAUCAUCUUUGUUUGAUUUUAAUUAUUUGCAAAUAAUUUAUAUAUCUUCUUUUAGUCAUAGGCAUUUGAGGCUAUUCCACAAAUAGCAAACAUGUAUCAAGCUAGGUUGCCUAUCAAUGGGCUGCGAAGAAUGUGUCGUUGGAAGUCAAUAAUUACUCCUAAUUCUAGGGAUAUUGCUAAAACCUUGGACGACCCACAAGUGAGUAUAUCUUCUAUAAGGUAAUUACUUCUAUUCAUUACCUCUAAUGUUGCUAAAAAGGAUUUUUUUUGUCAAAUUUCAGCUCGAAGUCCGUUGCUCAUUGACGUCUACUCUCAAUGAGACUGAGCAACAAUAUGUGACUUUAUUCGUUCAUGGAACUAAAAAAGAAUAUCCAAUCUUAGAUACUUAUCUCUACAAGGAUAGAGGAUACCCCAAGGUUAGUUAUGCAGAACUAGAUGAUGAUCUAGAUCCACCAUAGAGAUAGAGGGAGAGAGUCUCUCAGAAAAUGGGUGAUGAUGAUGUAUGUGUAUAGUUCAGGGAUUGUUCGUGUACAUCAGCCUUCUAUUCCUACAAGUCGAAGACCUCUACGCAAUCGUCGAGCUUCUUGUGAUCACGAUGAUAUGUUGAGACAAUUGUUGUACCACGUGGAGAGGUUAUCUGAUAAAUAUGAAGAGAUAAAUAGGAAGGUCGAUACUAUAAUGGAUUGGAUGAGAUCGAGCCAAUAUCUUGACAUAAACCAUUCAUUUAGGGCUAAUGAAGUAUUUGGGACCGAGUGAGAUAACCAUGAGGAAGUCGGAAGGAAGAUGGAGAUAGAGGACACUAUGAGGAAAACUAAGGCAAUGGACCUAUGGGGGAGUUUAAGGCAGGAAGCGCUGUGAUGGAGAUAGUGGUAGGAGUCAUUGAGAGGGGGGCUUAGACAUGGGAGAUUGGGAGGGAGCAUGCGACAGGGAAUGAGGUGGGAGACUGAAGCAGGGGGCACUGUGAUAGAGACUAUAGCAGGGAAUAUUGAGUGGAGGAUGGAUAUACUUGACAUUGAUGUGGGGAAUAAUGAGAGCUCAGGGAUGUACACUAAGGUUUUUACUUGCAAAAAGAGAAGUUCAGAUAAAACUUAUCAACAAAUUGAUGCCCUGGUGCGAGAUAAAAUUAAAAAACUUCAAAGUUAGUUUCCUCUCCAUACAAGACUGGAGCUAAGUGGAGAAGAUAUGUUGACAACACGUGUUGAUCUUUUUCAGGAUGUUGACCCAAUUAAGAAGAAGUAUUUCUCUAAAUGGCACUCUAAUUUAGGUGAUAGGCUUGGGCAACAAAAUAUUCCAAAUCAUUUGGUGGUUCGCGAGCUAUUCUGGACGUGCAAUUUAAUAUUGAAUUGACCUUCGCUAUGUUUGAUAUACUUGAGUGAGGAAAUUGUUUCAGAAUGACGGUAGAGCUAAUGGAAUAUAUCACCUGGGCAAAGCCAUCAUUUGGAAGUAAAUGGCAAGAAUGUACCCACGUAUACUUUUCGUUAUGUACUCGCAGAUGUUGGCUCGCAGUUGAGAUUGACUUUUACAAAGCGAUAAUAUUUGUGUAUGAUCCUGAUAAGGAUUGCAUUACAAACGAUCAACUCAAAGAUAAGUUGAGGGCCGCUUGUAUCAUUGUCCCGCUACUUUUAAAGGAAAUCAACAUCGAUUUAGAGACAAAUACUCUUACUAUAGAAAGGACCACUAAACAAGCCGUUUCGUAAGUUUUUUAUUAAAAUUAAAUAUUCACUUGUUCAUAUUCAUUUAGCUAUUUCACUUCGUUUACCAUUAUUUAUUAUCUUUCAGUGGUGAUUGUGGUAUGUAUGUAGCAAAAUAUAUAGAAUGCUUGAGCAUCAAAGGUCCAAUAGAACAAGUUAAUGGCUUCUAUGUGAAUAGAUGGAGAGAAAAGAUGGCUGCCAAUAUUUUUGCCCUUGAUUAUGAACCUUAGAAACUUUUGAUGUAUUUGUAUAUGUAUAAGUGUAAAUAUAAUUUUAUAGUGUAUGUUGA